rnacentral:rRNA from 1 species
CCUACGGGCGGCUGCAGUGAGGAAUAUUGGUCAAUGGGCGAGAGCCUGAACCAGCCAAGUAGCGUGAAGGAUGACUGCCCUACGGGUUGUAAACUUCUUUUAUCAAGGAGCAAAGUGCGGCACGUGUGCCUCUUUGUAUGUACCUUAUGAAUAAGGAUCGGCUAACUCCGUGCCAGCAGCCGCGGUAAUACGGAGGAUCCGAGCGUUAUCCGGAUUUAUUGGGUUUAAAGGGAGCGUAGGUGGGUGGUGAAGUCCGGUGUGAAAGUUUGCGGGUCAACCGUAAAAUUGCAGUUGAAACUGGCAGUCUUGAGUGGAGUAGAGGUAGGCGGAAUUCGUGGUGUAGCGGUGAAAUGCUUAGAUAUCACGAAGAACUCCGAUUGCGAAGGCAGCUUACUAAACUGCAACUGACAUUGAUGCACGAAAGUGUGGGUAUCAAACAGGAUUAGAUACCCGAGUAGUC